GUGCUCGCUUUACCAGCCCACGCACUAAAACUGGAACGAUAUGGGGAAUAUUAGCACGGUUCAUACAUGAGGAUGAAGUUCAAAUUCAUGAAGUGUUCUGGAUUUUA